GCGGCCUAUCAGCUUGUUGGUGAGGUAAAGGCUCACCAAGGCGACGACGGGUAGCCGGCCUGAGAGGGCGACCGGCUACACUGGGACUGAGACACGGCCCAGACUCCUACGGGAGGCAGCAGUAGGGAAUAUUGGGCAAUGGGCGAAAGCCUGACCCAGCGACGCCGCGUGAGGGAUGAAGGUCUUCGGAUUGUAAACCUCUUUCAGUAGGGAAGAAGCGAAAGUGACGGUACCUAAAGAAGAAGCACCGGCUAACUAUGUGCCAGCAGCCGCGGUAAUACAUAGGGUGCAAGCGUUGUCCGGAAUUAUUGGGCGUAAAGAGCUCGUAGGUCGUUUGUCGCGUCGAUUGUGAAAAUCUGAGGCUCAACCUCAGACCUGCAGUCGAUACGGGCAAACUAGAGUGUGGUAGGGGAGACUGGAAUUCCU
rnacentral:rRNA from 1 species